GAUGAACGCUGGCGGCGUGCCUAAUACAUGCAAGUCGAGCGAACAGACGAGGAGCUUGCUCCUCUGACGUUAGCGGCGGACGGGUGAGUAACACGUGGAUAACCUACCUAUAAUACUGGGAUAACUUCGGGAAACCGGCGCUAAUACCGGAUAAUAUAUUGAACCGCAUGGUUCAAUAGUGAAAUACGGUUUUGCUGUCUCUUAUAGAUGGAUCCGCGCCGCAUUAGCUAGUUGGUAAGGUAACGGCUUACCAAGGCGACGAUGCGUAGACGAACUGAGAGGGGGAUCGGCCACACUGGAACUGAGACACGGUCCAGACUCCUACGGGAGGCAGCAGUAGGGAAUCUUACGCAAUGGGCGAAAGCCUGACGGAGCAACGCCGAGUGAGUGAUGAAGGUCUUCGGAUCGUAAAACUCUGUUAUUAGGGAAGAACAAAUGUGUAAGUAACUAUGCACGUCUUGACGGUAACUAAUCAGAAAGCCACGGCUAACUACGUG
rnacentral:rRNA from 1 species